rnacentral:ncRNA from 2 species
GACUUGGAAAGAGCGCCAGAGCGUAUUUAGCAUACGUUGACGAGGAGAAGGAGGUCAUCGGAAAUUUUGUAUCCGAUGAGUUAUCGAAAUAUUCGGCGGAAACCUUCCGGUAUACCACUAUCGAUAGGAUCUAUACAAAAACUGCAGGCAACUGCAGAACAAAAAUGGGUCCGCGUGGUUAA